CAUGACGGUGAUGCGCGGAACACCUUCUGGUGCACUGCUGUCCCGUCUCCGGCCAGUCUUUCCGCGUACUACCGCCCUA
rnacentral:misc_RNA from 1 species